UGAGGAAUAUUGGUCAAUGGGCGAGAGCCUGAACCAGCCAAGUAGCGUGCAGGAUGACGGCCCUAUGGGUUGUAAACUGCUUUUAUGUGGGGAUAAAGUGCGUGACGUGUCAUGCAUUGCAGGUACCACAUGAAUAAGGACCGGCUAAUUCCGUGCCAGCAGCCGCGGUAAUACGGAAGGUUCGGGCGUUAUCCGGAAUUAUUGGGUUUAAAGGGAGCGUAGGCCGUUUGGUAAGCGUGUUGUGAAAUGUAGGAGCUCAACUUCUAGAUUGCAGCGCGAACUGUCAGACUUGAGUGCGCACAACGUAGGCGGAAUUCAUGGUGUAGCGGUGAAAUGCUUAGAUAUCAUGAAGAACUCCGAUUGCGAAGGCAGCUUACGGGAGCGCAACUGACGCUGAAGCUCGAAGGUGCGGGUAUCGAACAGG
rnacentral:rRNA from 1 species